CACCAGCUCUCCGAGUGGUGUGGAUGUUUAUUGGGCCUAAAGCAUCCGUAGCUGGCUGGACAAGUCCCCUGUUAAAUCCACCGAUUUAAUCGUUGGUGUGCGGGGGAUACUGUUCGGCUAGGGGACGGGAGAGGCAGACGGUAUUUUCGGAGUAGGGGUGAAAUCCUAUAAUCCCGGGAAGACCACCAGUGGCGAAGGCUGUCUGCUAGAACGCGCCCGACGGUGAGGGAUGAAAGCUGGGGGGAGCGAACCGGAUUAGAUACCCGGGUAGUCCCAGCUGUAAACGAUGCAGGCUAGGUGUUUGGACGGCCACGUGCCGUUCUAGUGCCGCGGGGAAGCCGUUAAGCCUGCCGCCUGGGGAGUACGGCCGCAAGGCUGAAACUUAAGGAAUUGGCGGGGGAGCACCACAAGGGGUGAAGCUUGCGGUUU
rnacentral:rRNA from 1 species